ensembl:ncRNA R03D7.12 ncRNA
UUAUCAUUCCCUAUCUGUUCAUAUCACACUUUCCCUUGUUUUUCCAAUAUCUUUAGGACUUGUCAUGUCAUCCCGAAAUGAA